UACGUAUUUUUCAAAAUAUUAUAAAUCUAUAAAUAAUAUAUCUCACGAGAUAAAAUAGAUAAAAUAAAAUUUAAAUUGAAAAUACGAUAGCAUGAUAUCAUUUAUUGAAUACAUUUUAAAGUGAAUAUAAUAAUCUCUAACUUAACCUACAAGUAUAUGAAGAACAACAAGCGAAGACAUUUACUGUCAUGAUGCUGUAAUUCUCUUACGAGAACGGAAUGGCAACUUUCUUGCCACGCCUAAUGUCAAGAGCGCCAUUUUGUGUCCUAUACUCUUCGUUCCAUCCAUUCUCUGUACCUGAUGUUCAUUUCCAAAAGGAUAAGUUAAACAGUAACUCGAACUCGUGUAAGAUUAAUCUAUUUUAAAUUUUCUUUACCGAAAAAUAAUCACCAAGAAAUUAAAUCUGAAUUAAUAGAGAAAUUGCCUAUUAAAAAUUUUUUGAAACAAGAUAUUAUAUCAUAGAAAAGAUAAAGCAUAAAAAAUAUAUAAUUAAAACAUACCAGAAU